CCUGGCUCAGGACGAACGCUGGCGGCGCGCCUAACACAUGCAAGUCGAACGAGCGAGAGAGAGCUUGCUUUCUCGAGCGAGUGGCGAACGGGUGAGUAACGCGUGAGGAACCUGCCUCAAAGAGGGGGACAACAGUUGGAAACGACUGCUAAUACCGCAUAAGCCCACAGCUCGGCAUCGAGCAGAGGGAAAAGGAGCAAUCCGCUUUGAGAUGGCCUCGCGUCCGAUUAGCUAGUUGGUGAGGUAAUGGCCCACCAAGGCAACGAUCGGUAGCCGGACUGAGAGGUUGAACGGCCACAUUGGGACUGAGACACGGCCCAGACUCCUACGGGAGGCAGCAGUGGGGAAUAUUGCACAAUGGGGGAAACCCUGAUGCAGCGACGCCGCGUGGAGGAAGAAGGUCUUCGGAUUGUAAACUCCUGUUGUUGAGGAAGAUAAUGACGGUACUCAACAAGGAAGUGACGGCUAACUACGUGCCAGCAGCCGCGGUAAAACGUAGGUCACAAGCGUUGUCCGGAAUUACUGGGUGUAAAGGGAGCGCAGGCGGGAAGACAAGUUGGAAGUGAAAUCUAUGGGCUCAACCCAUAAACUGCUUUCAAAACUGUUUUUCUUGAGUAGUGCAGAGGUAGGCGGAAUUCCCGGUGUAGCGGUGGAAUGCGUAGAUAUCGGGAGGAACACCAGUGGCGAAGGCGGCCUACUGGGCACCAACUGACGCUGAGGCUCGAAAGUGUGGGUAGCAAACAGGAUUAGAUACCCUGGUAGUCCACACCGUAAACGAUGAUUACUAGGUGUUGGAGGAUUGACCCCUUCAGUGCCGCAGUUAACACAAUAAGUAAUCCACCUGGGGAGUACGACCGCAAGGUUGAAACUCAAAGGAAUUGACGGGGGCCCGCACAAGCAGUGGAGUAUGUGGUUUAAUUCGACGCAACGCGAAGAACCUUACCAAGUCUUGACAUCCUGCGACGAUGCUGGAAACAGUAUUUUCCUUCGGGAGCAGAGACAGGUGGUGCAUGGUUGUCGUCAGCUCGUGUCGUGAGAUGUUGGGUUAAGUCCCGCAACGAGCGCAACCCUUACUGUCAGUUACUACGCAAGAGGACUCUGGCAGGACUGCCGUUGACAAAACGGAGGAAGGUGGGGAUGACGUCAAAUCAUCAUGCCCUUUAUGACUUGGGCUACACACGUACUACAAUGGCGUUAAACAAAGAGAAGCAAGACCGCGAGGUGGAGCAAAACUCAGAAACAACGUCCCAGUUCGGACUGCAGGCUGCAACUCGCCUGCACGAAGUCGGAAUUGCUAGUAAUCGUGGAUCAGCAUGCCACGGUGAAUACGUUCCCGGGCCUGCACACACCGCCC
rnacentral:rRNA from 1 species